rnacentral:rRNA from 1 species
ACAGUUAAGUGGAAAAGGAUGUGCAGUUGCACAGACAACCAGGAUGUUGGCUUAGAAGCAGCCACUCAUUUAAAGAGUGCGUAAUAGCUCACUGGUCGAGUGAUUGUGCGCCGAAAAUGUACCGGGGCUAAACUGUGUACCGAAGUCUAGGGAUCGUGAUAAACGAUCGGUAGGGGAGCAACGUGUGCGGGCUGAAGCCGAAGCGGAAGCGACGGUGGACUGCACGGGAGAGAGAAUGCCGGCAUGAGUAGCGAGAGCAAAGUGAGAAUCUUUGCCGUCGAAAGCCUAAGGUUUCCUGAGGAAGGCUCGUCCUCUCAGGGUAAGUCAGGACCUAAGCCGAGGACAAAAGUCGUAGGCGAUGGACAACUGGUUGAUAUUCCAGUACCACCUUUAGCGUUUGACUGAAGCAGUGACACAGAAGGAUAGACAGAGCGCGUGACUGGUAGAGCGCGUCCAAGCGAUGAGGGAGUUGAUUAGUGAAGUACGGUCAACAAUCCUGGGUCGUGAUGGGGACUGAAAAUAAGUAGGGAAGCUGUUGAAUUCACGCUGGCGAGAAAAGCUGCUACGAAGCGAAGGCGCCCGUACCGCAAACCGACACAGGUAGGCGAGGAGAGAAUCCUAAGACGAGCGGGAGAACCCUUGUUAAGGAACUCGGCAAAAUGACCCUGUAACUUCGGGAUAAAGGGAGCCACGAGAGUGGCCGCAGAGAAUAGGCCCAAGCGACUGUUUACCAAAAACACAGGUCUCUGCUAAAUCGAAAGAUGACGUAUAGGGGCUGACGCCUGCCCGGUGCUGGAAGGUUAAGAGGAGGACUUAGCGCAAGCGAAGGUCUGAAUUUAAGCCCCAGUAAACGGCGGCCGUAACUAUAACGGUCCUAAGGUAGCGAAAUUCCUUGUCGGGUAAGUUCCGACCCGCACGAAUGGUGUAACGAUUUGGGUACUGUCUCAACAAGGGACCCGGCGAAAUUGUAGUAUGUGUGAAGAUGCACAUUACCCGCGAUAGGACGGAAAGACCCCGUAGAGCUUUACUGUAGUUUAACAUUGGAUUCCGGUAACAUAUGCACAGGAUAGGUGGGAGGCGGAGAAGCAGUGAUUUCGGUUGCUGCAGAGCCGACGUUGGGAUACCACUCUUGUGUUACUGGGGUUCUAACCUGUGGCCGUGAUCCGGCACAGGAACAGUGUUAGAUGGGCAGUUUGACUGGGGCGGUCGCCUCCAAAAGAGUAACGGAGGCGUCCAAAGGUUCCCUCAGAAUGGUUGGAAACCAUUCGAAGAGUACAAAGGCAGAAGGGAGCCUGACUGCGAGACCGACAGGUCGAGCAGGGACGAAAGUCGGGCUUAGUGAUCCGGCGGUAUAGAGUGGAAUUGCCGUCGCUCAACGGAUAAAAGCUACCUCGGGGAUAACAGGCUUAUCUCCCCCAAGAGUCCACAUCGACGGGGAGGUUUGGCACCUCGAUGUCGGCUCGUCGCAUCCUGGGGCUGAAGCAGGUCCCAAGGGUUUGGCUGUUCGCCAAUUAAAGCGGCACGCGAGCUGGGUUCAGA